GUGUGAUUCCCAAAAAAUGUCUGGCCGGUGACUACUGCCUGCCAAUCCUGUAUGUUGCCUAUGGUGCAGUGCACAUGUUUGUAUUUAUGCCUCAUUGGAGUAUCUAACUUGUCUUGCAGAGUAGUACUCUCUCUCUCUGUCUCAAAAUAAGUGACUCAAAAGUGACCUAACUUUGUAGUGCAAAGUUGGGUCAAAGUUGGGUUUGGGUCAUUUUUGAGCCACUUAUUUUAGAACUGAGGGAGUAUGCGUUACAGAUGAAGAUGGUUUCUUUGUGUAGACUACAAAUGUACAAAAUAUGAAAGUUGGGUUGCAAUUCCACUACGUGUGAUGUUUUUUCAUAGAAAGAUACUAUGGAAGUUCAUAGAGUAAUUUUGAGGGAGUUCAAACUGAACUGAAGAACACGUAGCUGAUAAUCUUGUUCUGGAGGACAGCUUGAGUGUUGGGGAAGCCGCCGGCAACCGCGUCCUCAGCCGCCUCCACAGCAUCAGGGAGCACAUCGGUGACUCCCUCUUCGCGCACUCAAAUGAGCUUGUUGCAGUCUUCACCAGAUUGGUCAACCUUGGAAAUGGAAUGCUGCAGUCCCACCAGAUCAUUGCUGAGUACAACGAGCUACCCUACCGCAACAUUUAAGAAGGGAACCACAUCCUAGCUGUGGAGGAACCACCGAGUGACACGGUGAAUGCUCCAGCUCCACUCCGCGGGCGCAGUCCAGUGUCUCUACAGAGAAGUGGAAAGCAAUCAGACUGAGUAAGCAAAAAAAUGUGUAGUGUUGCUAUAACAGCCCGAAACUGAUGUUCUAGAAGAUUCUUCUUUUAUUUUAUUGUUGUCGUGUGAUUUAUCUGGUUGUCGCA